UACGAAGGGGGCUAGCGUUGUUCGGAAUUACUGGGCGUAAAGCGCACGUAGGCGGAUCGAUCAGUCAGGGGUGAAAUCCCAGGGCUCAACCCUGGAACUGCCUUUGAUACUGUCGAUCUGGAGUAUGGAAGAGGUGAGUGGAAUUCCGAGUGUAGAGGUGAAAUGCGUAGAUAUCGGAAGGAACAUCAGUGGCGAAAGCGACUUCCUGGACCAAUACUGACGCUCAUGUGCGAAAGCGUGGGGAGCAAACAGG
rnacentral:rRNA from 1 species